GGGCGGCCGCGGCAGAGGAGCCGCAGCCGCAGCGGGGCCGGGCCGGGCCGGGCGCGCACCAGUGGCGGCGGCAGCGGCAGCGGCAGCGGCGGCAGCAGCAGCAUCUUUCUCCCAGAGCCGGUGCAGAGCUGAACUUCAUCACCCAGUCCCCAGAGCCGGCAAGACAUGGGCCCCAUUUACCAAGCCCUGACGCCUUUCAUUUAACCAGAAGACGUGGAGGGG
rnacentral:lncRNA from 1 species